AGCUAAAAAGUAUAUAUUAUAUAUUGAAUUUAGAAUUCAAAGAGUGUUUUAUUAGCUG
rnacentral:tRNA from 1 species